rnacentral:pre_miRNA from 1 species
UCUUUAUUUCCCACUCUCUCUCACCGGUCAGAGAGGCGGGAGAAGAGUGUGUGAAAUGAAGAGA